GACAGAGGUGCCGAGCGUUAGGCGGAGUCACUGGGCUUAAAGCGUGUGUAGGCGGACCGUUAAGUACCUUGUGAAAUCCCCCCGGCUCAACCGGGGAACGGCUGGGUAUACUGGCGGUCUUGAGCCAUCCAGGGGCAGUCGGAACAGACGGUGGAGCGGUGAAAUGCGUAGAUAUCGUCUGGAACGCCGAAGGUGAAAACAGACUGCUGGGGAUGAGCUGACGCUGAGACACGAAAGCCAGGGGAGCGAACGGG
rnacentral:rRNA from 1 species